rnacentral:rRNA from 1 species
GAUGAACGCUAGCGGCAGGCUUAAUACAUGCAAGUCGUGGGGCAGCAGGACGGUAGCAAUACCGUUGCUGGCGACCGGCAAACGGGUGCGGAACACGUACACAACCUUCCUUUAAGUGGGGAAUAGCCCAGAGAAAUUUGGAUUAAUACCCCGUAACAUGGUGAAAAGGCAUCUUUUUAUCAUUAUAGCAGCAAUGCGCUUAAUGAUGGGUGGGCGGCUGAUUAGGUAGUUGGCGGGGUAACGGCCCACCAAGCCUUCGAUCAGUAACUGGUGUGAGAGCACGACCAGUCACACGGGCACUGAGACACGGGCCCGACUCCUACGGGAGGCAGCAGUAAGGAAUAUUGGGCAAUGGAGGCAACUCUGACCCAGCCAUGCCGCGUGGAGGAUGAAGGUCCUCUGGAUUGUAAACUUCUUUUAUAUGGGACGAAAAAAGGGUUUUCUAACUCGACUGACGGUACCAUAUGAACAAGCACCGACUGACUCCGUGCCAGCCGCCGCCGUAAGAC